GCCUCCGUGGCUCAAUGGAUUAGCGCGUUGGACUUCUAAUUCAAAGGUUGUGGGUUCGAGUCCCACCGGAGGUG
rnacentral:tRNA from 1 species